rnacentral:lncRNA from 1 species
AAUUAUUUUUAAUUAUAUAUUUUAUUCAACCCAAUAUAUCCAAAAUGUCAUCCUUUUGAUAUGUAAUCAAUAUAAAACAUUAUUAAUGAGAUACUUUACAGUAUUUUUUUUCCUAAGUCUUUUUUUUUUUUUUAAUGGUGGCACUAGGGCUUAUUAAACCGUGCCUUAGUAUAGGCCCUGCGGCUUGCCCACAGUGCUCCUGAUGUAUAAAGCCUGGAUGUUCUGCCAAUUCUUCUUGAACAAUGAUGCUAAGUGCAUGUUGUACAUGAGCUCAUCAUCUGUCAUCUUCAUGUGGCCAAUGGUCCCUGCCAGACACAGCACCUUCCUCAUCUGGAAUUUGAUGGUGGACUUCACUUCAUCCACUUUGGCCACCAUGUUCUCGUUGUGGGUCAGUAAGCAGGAGAACUUGCUAGCCUUACUCAGGCCUGGCCCAGGAUGCAUGGGAUCUGCUUGAUCAGAGAUUCUGAAGCCAAAAAGGCAUCAUACUUCUUGGCCAGCUUCUUGACUAAUUUUCUAUUCUUGUUGAGUUUCUUCAGCACCUCAAUGUCCAUGUGGGGAAUACACAGCCUAGGACUCAUCACAGUGCGGCUGGUCCCUCAAAACACAUACGGAGAACUUGGGGUGGGGAGUGGCCUUCAGCCUGACGGUGCCCGAGAAGCACUUGUUCUUGUAACGGUCAUCGUUCUUUAGGCUGAUCUGCAGCUCCACCGGCUCCAGAAACUUCCGGCGCUUGCCCUGGUUCCCCUGCAGGACUUCCCGCCCUGCCUCGUACGGGGUAUCUCGGGGAUCUGCUGCUCAUGGUUCCUCGAGCCGCAUUAACUGGAAAAAAGCCCUCCUAAGUUUUCGAAUCUCAAUUUGGACUAGCCACAUUUCAAGCCACGUGUGGCAGGUGGAUAUUAUAUUGGACAGUGCAUUCAAUACCGUGCCAAUCUUUUACUCAGUAACCAACACUUUGAUCAAAGUAGAUUCUUUUCAGUUUUAAGACCGUCUCUUCUAAAUUCCUCAUCUCUUUCCUCUCCCCAUUAUUUGUGUCAUGUUUCUUCAAAUGAACUUCUCCCAUUUCUGCCUCUUGAAAUCCUAUUCAUUUUUUAAGGUCCCACUCAAAUGAUUCUUUUUCUACAAAACCUUCAAUGAUUAUGUUAAAUAGGAAGGAAAGAUUAAUUCAAGAGACUAUAGAUAGGCUCACAUUCAGCUUAUAGAUUCAGUAAUAGAGCCAUACAUUUAUUUUUCAAAUGGAAAAAAUAAAAUUGGAUCUCCAUGUUGUCA